CACUCUUUUAGGUGCAUCAUCUGCCAAGGCAGCCGUGGUGGGGACCCACGAGCCCCGUCCCAUCCCCGCAGCACGGCGGGCUGGUGCCUCUCCCCUCCUGCCUUUCUCAUCUGCCACAGUAACAGCUUUCCCUUCAUUUAAUCCGUGCAGCUCAGAAGGCUGGAGAUGAGAAGGAAAAUUUCCUCCACAGAAGGCUCGAGGUGCUAGUGAAAAUUGAAAGAGCAGACGAAAAGACACUGAAAUUCAACCCAAGGGCAAGGAGCUCCAGGCCAGUUCUGCCUCCUGUGAAAUGCAGCAACGCCUCCCACACCUCUGACUGGAGAGAAAUAAAAGCAGUGCCCUGAAGUGCUUCCACAGGGCUCGGGGCUUUCAGCUGACGCUGGGAAGAGACAAGAACACAGAGA